AUACUGCGUUUGCAGGGGCACACCGUGGUCAGGAAGGGGGUUCUCCAGGGUGAGGCUCAUCCUCCAUACCCCUUGGUGUGCCCUACUCUGCAAUUUCUCCAAAUGCAGGAAACCUACCUGCAUAUUUUGGGGUAGUGGCAGUUUGUGUUCAUACUCUUCCCUG